rnacentral:rRNA from 1 species
AUUGAACGCUGGCGGAAUGCUUUACACAUGCAAGUCGAGCGGCAGCGCGGGGGCAACCCUGGCGGCGAGCGGCGAACGGGUGAGUAACAUAUCGGAACGUACCCUGUCGUGGGGGAUAACUAGUCCGAAAGGAUAGCUAAUACCGCAUACGACCUGAGGGUGAAAGCGGGGGACCGCAAGGCCUCGGCGCGAUAGGAGCGGCCGAUAUCGGAUUAGCUAGUUGGUGAGGUAAAGGCUCACCAAGGCGACGAUCCGUAGCGGGUCUGAGAGGACGACCCGCCACACUGGAACUGAGACACGGUCCAGACUCCUACGGGAGGCAGCAGUGGGGAAUUUUGGACAAUGGGGGCAACCCUGAUCCAGCCAUUCCGCGUGAGUGAAGAAGGCCU